UACGUAGGGGGCAAGCGUUGUCCGGAAUCAUUGGGCGUAAAGAGCGUGUAGGCGGCCCGAUAAGUCCGCCGUGAAAGUCCAGGGCUCAACCCUGGAAUGCCGGUGGAAACUGUCGGGCUGGAGUCCGGAAGAGGCGAGUGGAAUUCCGUGGUGUAGCGGUGAAAUGCGCAGAUAUCAGGAGGAACACCAAUGGCGAAGGCAGCUCGCUGGGACGGUACUGACG
rnacentral:rRNA from 1 species